rnacentral:rRNA from 1 species
GAUGAACGCUGGCGGCGUGCUUAACACAUGCAAGUCGAACGGUGAAAGCGGAGCUUGCUUUGCUGGAUCAGUGGCGAACGGGUGAGUAACACGUGAGCAAUCUGCCCUUGACUCUGGGAUAAGCGUUGGAAACGACGUCUAAUACCGGAUACGAGCUGCGAAGGCAUCUUCAGCAGCUGGAAAGAACUUCGGUCAAGGAUGAGCUCGCGGCCUAUCAGCUAGUUGGUGAGGUAAUGGCUCACCAAGGCGUCGACGGGUAGCCGGCCUGAGAGGGGUACCGGCCACACUGGGACUGAGACACGGCCCAGACUCCUACGGGAGGCAGCAGUGGGGAAUAUUGCACAAUGGGCGCAAGCCUGAUGCAGCAACGCCGCGUGAGGGACGACGGCCUUCGGGUUGUAAACCUCUUUUAGCAGGGAAGAAGCGAAAGUGACGGUACCAGCAGAAAAAGCACCGGCUAACUACGUGCCAGCAGCCGCCGUAACAC